CUCCUACGGGGAGGCAGCAGUGGGGAAUAUUGCACAAUGGGGGAAACCCUGAUGCAGCCAUGCCGCGUGUGUGAAGAAGGACCUCGGGUUGUAAAGCACUUUCAGUAGGGAGGAAGGUAGUGUAGUUAACACCUGCAUUAUUUGACGUUACCUACAGAAGAAGCACCGGCUAACUCCGUGCCAGCAGCCGCGGUAAUACGGAGGGUGCGAGCGUUAAUCGGAAUUACUGGGCGUAAAGCGCAUGCAGGCGGCCUGUUAAGUCAGAUGUGAAAGACCCGGGGCUUAACCUCGGAAUUGCAUUUGAAACUGGCAGGCUAGAGUCUUGUAGAGGGGGGUAGGAAUUUCAGGUGUAGCGGUGAAAUGCGUAGAGAUCUGAAGGAAUACCAGUGGCGAAGGCGGCCCCCCUGGACAAAGACUGACGCUCAGAUGCGAAAGCGUGGGGAGCAAACAGGAUUAGAUACCCCUGGUAG
rnacentral:rRNA from 1 species